rnacentral:rRNA from 1 species
GACGAACGCUGGCGGCGUGCCUAAUACAUGCAAGUAGAACGCUGAAGAGAGGAGCUUGCUCUUCUUGGAUGAGUUGCGGACGGGUGAGUAACGCGUAGGUAACCUGCCUGGUAGCGGGGGAUAACUAUUGGAAACGAUAGCUAAUACCGCAUAAAAUUGAUUAUUGCAUGAUACUUAAUUGAAAGAUGCAACUGCAUCACUACCAGAUGGACCUGCGUUGUAUUAGCUAGUUGGGGAGGUAACGGCUCAACAAGGGGACGAUACAUGGCCGACCCGGGUGGGUGGACGGGCAACAUGGGACCGAGGCACGGGCCAGACUCCUAAGGGGAGCAGCAGUAGGGAAUCUUUGGAAAUGGGGGGAACGCUGACCGAGCAACGCCGCGUGGGUGGAGAAGGUUUUCGGAUCGUAAAGCCCUGUUGUAAGGGAAGAAAGGGUGUGAGAGUAGAAAGUUCACACUGUGACGGUAUCUUACCAGAAAGCGACGGCUAACUACGUG